rnacentral:tRNA from 1 species
AAAUAAGAAGUAAAAUAUUACAUUUAGUUUCGACCUAACCUUUGGCUUUUAGCCCUUAUUUAUUAAUU